CAAAACUUUCAACAACGGAUCUCUUGGCUCUCGCAUCGAUGAAGAACGCAGCGAAAUGCGAUAAGUAAUGUGAAUUGCAGAAUUCAGUGAAUCAUCGAAUCUUUGAACGCACCUUGCGCCCUCUGGUAUUCCGGAGGGCAUGCCUGUUUGAGUGUCAUG
rnacentral:rRNA from 1 species